CAAGUUUAUUCAAUUAUAAUUUUAGAAAAUUCAAAAAUCCCUAAAAGCAAUUAUCAACAAUUCCCUAUAUCAUGAUUUAGGGAUAAAUCACGAUGCCACACACAGAUUUUUUGGAAACUAUUUUCCCUUUUAAAUGAUUCAAACUUUUCCAUCAAAAUUCUAUCGUCUACCUAUAAAAACCCAAUAUAACUGAAGACUACGAAAAGUCACUAAGCCUAACCGUGAACCAACUCGUCCCUGUAGAAUCGUUUUAUUGCCGAAUCGCGACGUGUUUCCUAGCUUGGAUCGUCUCGUCCGAUCAUUUUUCUCAAGUAGACGUCCCCUUGGAAGCAUCGUCCACGAUCAUCCCCUUGUUCCCUUGGCCAAGUACUUGGUAUUCAGACGACGACAUGCCAUCGAAACUCGAGCAGCCUCUGCAAGAACGAAUCUUCGACAUGGCUUCGGGAAAAUUGUUCAUCUUGUUCGGUUUGCAGCUUCUCUGACUUUGUCUUUCUCAUUCUCAAACAUUGAAAGAAAAUAAAUUAGAAGAAAAGAAAAAAAGUGUACACAUCGAUUCGUGGAAAUAUAUUUCCAAGUAUAAUUUUGUUAAGAAAUUUUAUGAAGAGCUGAAAGUUUGAGCUUCCUGAUGCAUUUCGUACGGCGGGAAUGUUGACACAAAAUGAUAGAAAGGAUGUUUGCCAGACUCGUGAAGGGUUAACCAAGUUGAUAAGGGUAAAGUAAUUGAUACUGACGCUAAAACGUCUGACCGUGAAGUAAGUACAAACGGAAUAUCCGGCGGAAUUAUAGGAUUAUAUUAAUACGCUCGUUUCACAGAGCCAUAGUCGCUAUUUGCAGUUACCACGCGCUUCUUCGAUACCCUGCGUGUAAAUUCAUUCAUUAGGGAUUUGUAGAUCUUCGAAGACUAUUAAAGGGUGGCCAAUCUAAAUUGGCUAAAUUAUAAAAUGAAUUUUAAUUAAAUUGUUAAUACAAUUAAUAAUCCAAGAAUUCAGAAGGGUGUCACUAUGUCUAACAAGUGUAAAUGACGGCUGAAUACGACCCUGUGCACGCGAACAAAAGAAUGAAUUCUUAAGGGUGAACAAAGCAUUUAAAGAAACUUCAAAACUCCAUAAUCAAACAACUACUUUCAAAGGAAUAUGUGAUAUCAAAGAUUCCCAUCGUAGAAUCUAUAUAUCCAGAAUGGAAAAAAAAUUACCUGAUAUUCGCGAAUCCUAUUCGAGAAUGAUGUACAUUGAUCAUGUGCCAUCUGACGCGUUCGCCAGUAUAAAAUUGCGUGUGAGAUAAACGUCUCAUUCUUCCACGAUCCACGAUACUUAAAACAUUUGAACUUUAUUCCAUACAAUGGGAUACUAGAAAACACUAUACAAGUAAACGAUUCCAUGAUCGCCGCGUAGCGGCGAAUUAUCGUUCACAUCCUUUCCCCAAGACGUAAAUCCUAAUAUCGAAUCGAGGCAGGUUGUUUGCCAUUUUCUCUUCUUGUUUAACUUUCUUACUAAUUUUAUUCUCUUUGUCUAUAAGUGUUUGAAACGAGGUUGAAAUGAUAUUCUUUUGUAGAAGAGUAUAAUUUUCUUAAAAAAUAUCCACAAAAUAUUGCACUAUAAUGCUUUUAAUUUAUUUUCUUUGUUGAUAAUAUUUAUAUAUAUAUUAGACAUAUAUAUCUACAUAAUACUUGCAAAAUGAAGAUAAAAAACAAGAAUUAUUAGAAACAAAUAAGAAAAUUAAACUUUUAAUGAAAAGAAUCUGAGAAUAUAUUGUUACUCCUAUUUUUAACAAUUAAACAUAAUUUCUCUCAUAUUAUGCAUAUAAUUCUUCCUUUAGAUAAAUAAAUUUUCAAAUUAUUCAAAUCAUUCAAAUGUUAGAUUUUGUUUUGCUCAUGCACUCAAAUCUAUAAACACUUAUUUUCCCAUCGAAAUAAAAUAAUUUCAAUUAAUUCUAUCAAUCCUUCUCCAAAAAUUAAAAUUCAAAAGAAUCAUCCUUUCGCCUCGUUUCAACAACAAUUCAAACUCUUCCUCCGCCAAACUCCAAUAUUUUCUCGUAUACUCGAAGUUCGUUCAUUGAGAAAUUCAACAGACGAAAUCUCCGAAACAUCCUCGUCCACUGUAUAUCAUUCAUGAACACCCCCUUCAUCCUUGAACGCGAGAACCAUAAGCGAAAAAACGAUUAGAAAGCAAAAAAUGGCAAACAACACGAAGGAAUGGUUAGAAUUAUUUCGUUAGCACGAGGCACGAGGAUCAGGCGAACGGGUGAGCGUCGUGCGAAACACUAAGGACACUGUAUAGCGGGGUGCCUGAGUAUGGGGGCGCGCCCCUUCGCGCACAGGGCCCCCUCAAGCGGCGUGCAUCAGACUACAUUCGAUACGUUGUCCACGAGGGGUUCCCCCGUCGACCCAUCGUGGCCCUAUGACUAAUAAGAAGCCUGGCAGACACUGUCACACGAAUCCAAGUAUCCCGUGUUAAACGAUGCAAAACUUUGUGGCUUCGGGAGGUUGAUCGAGGACGUGUAAGGGUGAAUCGAUAAAUAAGUUAGUAGCACCCUAUUCUAAUUCUUUUUUUUUUUUUUAGCAACAUAUCAUCUUAUUCUUUUUAUAUUAUUGAUUAUUUAGAGAAGUUUUCUUGAUUUUAAAAUAUAUCAAAAAUAUAUUAUCAAUAUUUUGAAUAAUUUUUUUUCUAUAGAUAUUUAAAGUCAGUCGCAAAGAAAUCUUAUAGAGAAAUUCUUCUUAAAUUUUGAUUUUUCAGAAAAUAAAAUCGAUCUCCAAUGUUUAAAUUUUUCAUUGCAUUAUAAUUCAUUAAAAAUAAAGAAAUUAACGAAGUUCUAUUCUAUAUAUUAUCGAUGAUGUAGUUACAAUUCUUGAACAUGUAUCAAUUAUUUUUAUUUUUUAAGAAUAAAUCAAAAAGUGAAAAGAAGAAAAAAAGAAACUCGAA